CCUACGGGAGGCAGCAGUGGGGAAUUUUGGACAAUGGGCGCAAGCCUGAUCCAGCAAUGCCGCGUGAGUGAAGAAGGCCUUCGGGUUGUAAAGCUCUUUUGUCAGGGAAGAAACGGUGGGAGCUAAUAUCUCCUACUAAUGACGGUACCUGAAGAAUAAGCACCGGCUAACUACGUGCCAGCAGCCGCGGUAAUACGUAGGGUGCAAGCGUUAAUCGGAAUUACUGGGCGUAAAGCGUGCGCAGGCGGUUUUGUAAGUCUGUCGUGAAAGCCCCGGGCUCAACCUGGGAAUUGCGAUGGAGACUGCAAGGCUUGAAUCUGGCAGAGGGGGGUAGAAUUCCACGUGUAGCAGUGAAAUGCGUAGAGAUGUGGAGGAACACCGAUGGCGAAGGCAGCCCCCUGGGUCAAGAUUGACGCUCAUGCACGAAAGCGUGGGGAGCAAACAGGAUUAGAUACCCUGGUAGUCCACGCCCUAAACGAUGUCUACUAGUUGUCGGGUUUUAAUUAACUUGGUAACGCAGCUAACGCGUGAAGUAGACCGCCUGGGGAGUACGGUCGCAAGAUUAAAACUCAAAGGAAUUGACGG
rnacentral:rRNA from 1 species